UGGGGAAUAUUGCACAAUGGGCGAAAGCCUGAUGCAGCAACGCCGCGUGCGGGAUGACGGCCUUCGGGUUGUAAACCGCUUUCAGCAGGGACGAAGGUUUUCUGACGGUACCUGCAGAAGAAGCACCGGCUAACUACGUGCCAGCAGCCGCGGUGAUACGUAGGGUGCGAGCGUUGUCCGGAAUUAUUGGGCGUAAAGAGCUUGUAGGCGGUCCGUUGCGUCGGAAGUGAAAACUCAGGGCUUAACCCUGAGCCUGCUUUCGAUACGGGCGGACUUGAGGGAUGUAGGGGAGAACGGAAUUCCUGGUGGAGCGGUGGAAUGCGCAGAUAUCAGGAGGAACACCAGUGGCGAAGGCGGUUCUCUGGACAUUUCCUGACGCUGAGAAGCGAAAGCGUGGGGAGCAAACAGGCUUAGAUACCCUGGUAGUCCACGCCGUAAACGGUGGGCACUAGGUGUGGGACCCAUUCCACGGGUUCCGUGCCGUAGCUAACGCA
rnacentral:rRNA from 1 species